AUUUCAUUGGUCCUGGGUCCAGCAUUGGUUCAGUCAGCGGAGGGGUCCAGUCAGCGGAGGGGUCCAGUUCUGGGUGGCUUGCGCCCCUGGGGCUUCAGUUUGUGUCCUUUUAUCAUCCGUACCCCUCCUUCGGCACUCAAACACAUUAGGCUAACUAGGUGUCAUGAGCAGUUUGUGAGCCUUUGGGCUUGGGGGUCAUUUGGGGAAUAACUUCCCCUUUCCUGCAGAUGUGAUCUUUGGCCAUACAUGGUGAGCUGCCUUGCUCAGCAUAUCAGAACAACACAUCAGAACACAGAGCUGUUCACCCUCCAGCACGCCCUCCCUGUCCUGUUGCUGAUCGGCUUCUUUUC